GAGUUUGAUCUUGGCUCAGAUUGAACGCUGGCGGCAUGCCUUACACAUGCAAGUCGAACGGCAGCACGGGAGCUUGCUCCUGGUGGCGAGUGGCGAACGGGUGAGUAAUGCAUCGGAACGUAUCCUGGAGUGGGGGAUAACGUAGCGAAAGUUACGCUAAUACCGCAUAUUCUGUGAGCAGGAAAGCGGGGGACCUUCGGGCCUCGCGCUCUUGGAGCGGCCGAUGUCGGAUUAGCUAGUUGGUGAGGUAAAGGCUCACCAAGGCGACGAUCCGUAGCAGGUCUGAGAGGAUGAUCUGCCACACUGGAACUGAGACACGGUCCAGACUCCUACGGGAGGCAGCAGUGGGGAAUAUUGGACAAUGGGCGAAAGCCUGAUCCAGCCAUGCCGCGUGUGUGAAGAAGGUCUUCGGAUUGUAAAGCACUUUAAGUUGGGAGGAAGGGCAGUAAGUUAAUACCUUGCUGUUUGACGUUACGACAGAAUAAGCACCGGCUAACU
rnacentral:rRNA from 1 species